UACGGAGGGGGCUAGCGUUAUUCGGAAUUACUGGGCGUAAAGCGCACGUAGGCGGCUUUUCAAGUCAGAGGUGAAAGCCUGGAGCUCAACUCCAGAACUGCCUUUGAAACUGGAUAGCUUGAAUCAUGGAGAGGUCAGUGGAAUUCCGAGUGUAGAGGUGAAAUUCGUAGAUAUUCGGAAGAACACCAGUGGCGAAGGCGACUGACUGGACAUGUAUUGACGCUGAGGUGCGAAAGCGUGGGGAGCAAACAGG
rnacentral:rRNA from 1 species